UACGUAGGGUGCGAGCGUUAAUCGGAAUUACUGGGCGUAAAGCGUGCGCAGGCGGUUUUGUAAGCCAGAUGUGAAAUCCCCGGGCUUAACCUGGGAAUGGCAUUUGGGACUGCAAGGCUUGAGUGCGGCAGAGGAGACUGGAAUUCCUGGUGUAGCAGUGAAAUGCGCAGAUAUCAGGAGGAACACCGGUGGCUAAGGCGGCUCUCUAGUACGGUACUGACGCUGAGACGCGAAAGCGUGGGGAGCGAACAGG
rnacentral:rRNA from 1 species